rnacentral:rRNA from 1 species
CUGCAAGUCGAGCGCAGGAAGCAAGUUGAUCCCCUUCGGGGGUGACGCUUGUGGAAUGAGCGGCGGACGGGUGAGUAACACGUGGGCAACCUGCCUGUAAGACUGGGAUAACCCCGGGAAACCGGGGCUAAUACCGGAUAAUACUUUCUUUUGCAUAAAGGAAAGUUGAAAGGCGGCUUCGGCUGUCACUUACAGAUGGGCCCGCGGCGCAUUAGCUAGUUGGUGAGGUAACGGCUCACCAAGGCGACGAUGCGUAGCCGACCUGAGAGGGUGAUCGGCCACACUGGGACUGAGACACGGCCCAGACUCCUACGGGAGGCAGCAGUAGGGAAUCUUCCGCAAUGGACGAAAGUCUGACGGAGCAACGCCGCGUGAGUGAUGAAGGUUUUCGGAUCGUAAAACUCUGUUGUUAGGGAAGAACAAGUACGAUAGUAACUGAUCGUACCUUGACGGUACCUAACCAGAAAGCCACGGCUAACUACGUGCCAGCAGCCGCGGUAAUACGUAGGUGGCAAGCGUUGUCCGGAAUUAUUGGGCGUAAAGCGCUCGCAGGCGGUCCUUUAAGUCUGAUGUGAAAUCUCGCGGCUCAACCGCGAACGGUCAUUGGAAACUGGAGGACUUGAGUACAGAAGAGGAGAGUGGAAUUCCACGUGUAGCGGUGAAAUGCGUAGAGAUGUGGAGGAACACCAGUGGCGAAGGCGACUCUCUGGUCUGUAACUGACGCUGAGGAGCGAAAGCGUGGGGAGCGAACAGGAUUAGAUACCCUGGUAGUCCACGCCGUAAACGAUGAGUGC